rnacentral:rRNA from 1 species
AUCCUGGCUCAGAAUGAACGUUGGCGGCGUGGAUUAGGCAUGCAAGUCGAGCGAGAACCCAGCAAUGGGGGACAGCGGCGAAAGGGACAGUAAUGUGUAGAUUAUCUGCCCUCGGGUCCGGGAUAGCUGCGGGAAACUGCAGGUAAUACCGGAUAACAUCUCCGGAUCAAAGGUGUGAUUCCGCCCGAGGAUGAGUCUGCAUCCUAUUAGCUUGUUGGUGGGGUAAUGGCCUACCAAGGCUUUGAUGGGUAGCGGGUGUGAGAGCACGACCCGCGUCAUUGGGACUGAGACACUGCCCAGACACCUACGGGUGGCUGCAGUCGAGAAUCUUCGGCAAUGGGCGCAAGCCUGACCGAGCGACGCCGCGUGUGGGAUGAAGGCCUUCGGGUUGUAAACCACUGUCAGAGGGGAUGAAAUGCAGGUGGGUUCUCCCACUUGUUUGACAUAGCCUCAGAGGAAGGACGGGCUAAGUUCGUG